UGGUUAUGAACCUACAAAGAAGUGGUGCAGAAAAAUUAAGCUACAAGUGUUAACAUCAAUUGUUUUUAAAAUAUUGAAAAGGUUAAUCAUACUUGAUCUCUAAACCAUUGAGGGAACUGUGAGUGUAUUAUAGCGGAAGAACUCCCUUCUGGAACUUGCAUAGCCACAAGAAAUGAGCUGUAUAAAAUGAACAUAAUUAGUGACUAUGUUAAAGUUUUAUGAAUGACAACUUAAGAAUGAGAUGAGAACAUACUCAAGGUACACCUUAACUUCAAGGCAAUUAAUUAAGACAUGNANNUGNGNNNAGUUGAAUUNAGCAUCACUUAACCAAUGAGUGAACUCUUUGCCCGCGUGACGGCCCACUUGUCGAAACACUAACAAAGUUGAAUGAGAUGUGGCAGAUUGUGGUUCAUUCCUAACAUUGAUCGGUUUCAACAUGAAGUUGUUGAAAUAAUGAGAACAAAAGUACGUUGUCUCACGAUGCAAGUAAGCCGAACAAAUUGAUCCUUCCACUCUGGCUUUGUUUUU
rnacentral:lncRNA from 1 species